CAGAUAUAGACAGAGACAACCUCACACAAAGGUGCGCACUCACAAACAUUCAAAACAGUCAUCUAGUCUAGAUCUCUAAAUUCUGCUAUACUGACUAAAUAUUUGCUUGUGGUGUGUAUGUGUGUGUGUGUGUGUGUGUGUGUGUGUGUGUGUGUGUGUUUACAUAGAUAUUUUUAGCCUCCUGUAUUUCUCUGUUUACCCAUAACCACUUUCCAUUUUUAUUUUCAGAUUUCAAGAAUUAGGGUUUGAAGUACAAUCUUACAAUGACAAAAAAGUUUCAGUAGUGCAAGAGAAACUACGUGAAGGUAUAAUCUUGAGACUUGAAUAUGUUUUUUUGAGAAUUGACUUGUUUCUAUACAUUUUGUUGCAGAAACAUUAUCAACCUAUUUAACCAUAGCUGCUGCAGCCAACCACAAAGAUGUGGAUUGCUUUGUCUGCAUAUUCCUAUCUCAUGGGAAAGAAGGGAAAAGUGAAGCAUUUGAUAAUCAGAUUGAAAUUAAGGAAAUAACAGAUUUAUUCAGAGGGGAUGAGUGUAAGAGCCUUGUUGGGAAACCCAAGAUCUUCAUCUUCCAGCAAACUUGACGAGUACAAGAUGACCCACAAGAGGCAUGGCUUGGCACUAAUCUUCAACAAAAAAACUUUUGAAAAAUCUGAACGUUUAUCAAAGCGCAGAGGUACAGAUAUAGACAGAGACAACCUCACACAAAGAAACAUUAUUAACCUAUUUAACCAUAGCUGCUGCAGCCAACCACAAAGAUGCAGAUUGCUUUGUCUGCAUAUUACUAUCUCAUGGAAAAGAAGGGAAAAUUGAAGCAUUUGAUAAUCAGAUUGAAAUUAAGGAAAUAACAGAUUUAUUCAGAGGGGAUGGGUGUAAGAGCCUUGUUGGGAAGUCCAAGAUCUUCAUCUUCCAGGCAUGCGCUGGUGAGAAACAUGAAAAUGCUGUGACCGGCAUGAUGGCAGUAGAUAGUGAUGAUGACGGAGUGGUGGAGGAAGCAGCUAACAUCUACAGAGAUGCUUCAGAAAACAGAGAGAGCAAUAGAAGCAGAGAAACAACGAAUCCUGAAAGAAAAUGAAGCACAGAGACAAAAGGAGAUAGAAGAUCUGAGGAAAAAGUUUAAAGGAGAAACAUUUGAGAUAGAAAAGAAGAAGAAAACUCAGCAGCAUGAAGAGGAAGUGAGAGAGAAGGCAGAAGAAGGUUUUUAUUAUUAUUUUGGAAAGGUGCAUACAAUUUUUCAGUUUUGCUUUGAUUUUAUAUUGCAACUUUUUGGAAUAACACCAAUUCCUUUUCCAGAGUAUAUCUUUAGGGAUUUUCAGAGGGGCUACAAACUACUGGUAAAAUAAUGAAUCCCUUCUGUAUUAUUAAUGUGCCCAGAAUCACAUCAUUACAUAAGCACUGUUUUCUUUUUCUGUAUUUAAAGAAAUUAGAAACUGAUAUAAGUGUAGUAAUCAGAGGAAUAUAUUAAUGAAUAUUCAACAUCAUGGAAAGAUGCUAUAAUUUUUUAUGAAUUAUUAUUACUUACUCAUGCAGUUUAUGUGCACGUAAUACUGAAUAGCAAUUUUCUCUUAGGUUAAUUUGGUUUAUACUUGAGCUAUUUCUAAUUAUCUUUUUGAACUGCAUUUUUGACAUUUACACUGCAUAAAUGGCAGACAACCUUAACAAGAACAACAUGCCGAUACUGCAUACUUUACAAAACACACUAAAAUACUAAAGCAAUAUGUAACUCCAGGGUCGGGGUAAGAUUGGUUUUAUCAUCGGUACAAUUCAACAAGGCAAAAAUCUUAUUCAAAUGUAUUAUUAACAUUAGCUAUAAACUAUUAUUCAACUAUUCAUUGUGUUUUAGUAAGCCAACAUUAAUGUCAUUCCUGUCACCAGAUGUUUUUUUAAGAGUAUACUGUAGGAUAACAAUAAGCUUGGAUUUUUAAGAAUCAAACAGAACAAUAAAAAUAAAAGGAUUAAGUUUAAAACCUGGUACCUUAAUACAAAUUUCAUGUAGAAAAUGUAUACAGACAUAUAAACAAUAACAAAACAUUAGACAUAAUAUUGAACAACGAGCUUUGGCAGUUUCUGUAGAGCUGCCUGACAAAGUCAAGGGCUGGUAUCAAGUGCAAAAUACUUCCAUAUUUUACCCCAAUGAUCGAGCAAAAUUUUAAAAUUCAAAAGAUUUAGGGGCAUUGGUCAGAGAAGAAGAUCAGAUAUGGAGGCCUACAAAUAAUCCAUACAUUCACUUGUCACUUGAUAGGCAGUGUUAGAAUGUCACAAAACAAUUGAACAAACAGUGGCAACUCAUGUAAUGAUUAGUAAGCACACACAAGUACAGGUGACAGUGGAGGUAGUUAAAAGGAUCAGUUGAGCAAGAAACCGAGAGAGCUUAAAAAAAUUUAAUAAUAAUAAAAAAAUAAAUGGAGCUACAGAAUAAUUAAGGACAAAACACCAAACUGUUUGACUAGUGGACUAUAUUCCUAUAUAAACUUAAAUAGUUAAAAAAAAUCCUGUGAUCCCGAAUCCACACACUUUACUUUCUAACAUGAAAAUACAAAGUUCCCAAAAGUACUAAGUGGUAUAGCAUAAUAGACUUCUGCCUCUUCUGUGUACCAUUACAGCCAGAGUAACAAUUUCUGUUUGCAUUUACAUAUCAUGGACAAUACACCAACACUAAAUUAUCACAAAGAUAUGGGGAAUUAUUCACGGAAGUACUGGUUCGUGACUUAGCAAAUUUACAAAUUCCAAACUCAUUGCUAAUGUAUUUUGACAAUUUACUAAUUUAUAUUGUGUUAAAUAUAAUAGCAGAAAAUGAGCACAAUGUCGAUAAAAAGAAGCUACAAUGCUGUAAACUAAAAAUAUAAUACUUAGGAAGGGUACUUAAGCACAAUGCCAUAAAAUAUAGCUAGCCCAUGUGGAUAGUAUUCAGAAAGCACAAAAAUCACACACUUCAUCCCUUCAUUCCUUGGUAUGGCAGGUCAGUAGACCAUGUAUAUGUGACUUUGCAUUAUAAGCACAACCUCUAAGAGGCAUGAUAAAUGUGACUGAUCAAUCCAAGCCAAGUGCUGACUUGGACAACAGAAGGAGAUGGCCAGUCCAGAUUGUAGCAAACCCUUCCAUCUCGAUAUCUCAGAACAAAAAAGAUGUGCCUCAGCAGUGUUGAUGCAACAGCAAGCUGCAUAAACUAACUGCAUACUUUAGCACUGCACUUAAUAAGGUGGAAAAGGGCAUGCAUGCCACUAUUGAGCAGUAGCAACAGCUUCUUCACAAAUCAAGAUGCACGGUCACACAAUGAAUCACAAUGGGACACCUGGCAACCCUAUACACAUCAUACGCCCUCAAUUCACUUUAGCCAGUCAAUCACUUGUCAUGUAAAAUUCCAGUAGAACUGGUUAUGGUGUGAUACUCACAGAACCAGAACUAACAAUUAAAAGAUGUGUCAUGAUAAACUCAUUAGAUAGAGCAGACUUCAGUACAGAAGACACCCUACACAAGUGCUCAGAAGAAUCUAAGAAAUUCUUAAAAACAAAAACCAAGAUUUUGUUUUCUGUAUCUCCAAGAUUUUGGGUAUACAACUUUCAUUGAGUGCUUAUGUUAUCAUUAAAAUGAAGGAGAUAGAGCAGGUUAUACAGAUGUUAAGUAUGAAGUGGAUCAGAUUAAUUUAAAUCAGUCGUAAGUGCCACAGUACUCCAUCCAUGCUCAGCACUAUUGGUAGGGAAAAAGGGCACAACAUACACAUAUUCACUGCUUAAGGUGUAUGCCUAAAGAUGUCAGGCCAACAAUAUCAGAUCUGCUAUUGAUAUAGCCAUUGUCAUAACACAUACACAAAAUAGAGGGCUCCAUGGUUACAAAAAGGAAUGUGGCAGCAGGAAAGUUGCACUAUAGUACCUUGAAACUGGAAUAUCAUGUUAUGUGACACAUCUAAAACAAAUGUAUAGAACCUUGUUUUCAUUGGUUUGUAAGACUACGCGAUAAUGCUACAGAUGAGCGGGGCCUAGAAUCGUCCAACAGGUAGUAUCUGACAAUUGCAUACAUAAGAGUGUUCAAUGGAAAAUACUAGGAAAGAUGUAAUAAACAUAGUCAACAAAAUAUAUAAAUUUACAUUUAGAUAUUACUUUGAUAUGUGUGGUUCUGUUAUUUAGUGUUAGCUCUCUUUCUCCCCUGCCACCAUGUUGUCUUGUCUGUAUGUUUCUUAAUGUUGUGUGCAGGUGAGGGCUGGACCAUCCAAACCUUACCUUAAAAACCUUAAAAAUAGCAUUUGAAGAAAAGAACUGGAGUGUUAAAUCUAAAGGCCUGGUUUGGUAAAACUAGAAUUAAUUCAAACCAAGGUAUGAUGAAGUAAGACAUGCCUAAACAAGGUGUAAACAAAACAAACGAUGAUUUGCAGACAAAGUAAAAUCAGAAAAUGCUAACAAGAAAAUGUUAUGUUUUGUGAAAGUGCACGAUCAGGUGAUUUUUCAAGAAAAGGUGCGAUCAGGGAAUAUUUUUCGUACAUGUAAAUUAGAAUUGUAUGGUGGUAAACAAUGCUCCAAGAAAAGGGAUAAAUUUACCAGAAUGUGCAUAAGCUUAUAGGCAUAGAGUAUUAUUGGUGUAUGUAAAUUGUUAAAAAGGAGAUAUUAGAGAAAUUAUGUAAAAUUUACCAUGUGUUGAAAAAAAAAGGGGGAUUUUUUCAUUGGACUUCGCACUUGCUUGCAUUCGCUGACUUACCCGAGAGCUCUCCCGGACAGGGCUAAAUUGACUGCAAUGCAAUUUACUCCUUCUCAUUGCUUGACUGGUAGAUCUUUUCAUUUGGUUUGUUUAUGUAUUAUUUGACGUUUUAAAGCAUAUUGGUAAUUGCGUAAUGAAUAACUAAAACUGAUUUGAAACUUGAACCACUCCACUGUGGACAUUUGAGUUCCGACAUUGUGUAGAAACAUAACUAAAGUUCCAUCUGGUGUCCUGAUGAUUUAUGUCAUUUAAAACACCAUAAUUACUUUAAAACAUUUACAAGUAUAUUUUG